rnacentral:lncRNA from 1 species
CAACCGAACCUACGAAGAUCCACCGGGUCAGUAACCAACCCACCAAUCCAAAAUACAUGAUUUACGAACCCCACACAAAUUCCCGAAAUCGAUUUUCCAAAAUCGAUCACCGUAACUCGCCGAAAGUCCUAAAAAUCACACGGGGACUCCGUCGGGACCCACUAAGUGUCCCGAAACUCAUUGACUCGUGCCAUGAGUCACCCACUGCCACAAAACACACCGAUUUGGAUGUCUUGGCAGCAAACACAAGGUUACACAACUAAACAUUUAUCGCCGGAUAAUUAUUCGGAUCCGGGCUCCCGGAGCCGGAACCCACCGUCGCUCAUCCGUCAUCUCCGAACUCACGAUAUGACGAUAGUGACUAGCCAACAAGGCACA